GCCUUUUAAUGAAACUUCCUUUUUCUUGCGAAAAUUUUUCUCCAAGUGUUUCAAGUUAGGAGUAUGGCUCAUAAGCUAGCCAAAGAUUAGGCAUCUCAUAAUGACUAUUGAUGGGCGCUCUUUAUGAUCGAUAGGAUGAGCCACACCCAACAGCUUUAGGAUGUAGGCCCUCGUGCUAAAAGCCUGGAUGACCUAUUGACUUAUAGGAAGG
rnacentral:lncRNA from 1 species